rnacentral:misc_RNA from 1 species
UUGAGCAGCGACGCCCGUCCGUGCACGCCUCAUCAGUUGUUUGCCCGAGUGCAACUUUGCCUCGGCUGCGAGCAGGUUUCCUGUGUUGCGUACCUACAGAAAUGGAAUUGGUAUGUCCCAACCUUUGUACGUCCGUCUCGCGCUGUCCCUUCAGGGUGCGGCGUCGGGCGGACCACGAAGCGGUGCCCGCGUUCUAGGUCGCUCAUGCUAUGUGUUGUUGUCCUGGCCCGUGGACCGUCGCUUGGGCUCUCGGAUGCGGAAUACUUUGAGGGUCGGGUCGACUUGUUGACCUUUGGUUGCCCAGAAUAAUUUCGUUAAUGAAAGACUGCCGUCGUUCCGUAUAGGCGUUGGAUCCUUCGGAUUCCUCGUCCACUCGGGACGCCGGCGUCUAAGAGGAAUGCUA